GUAAUUCCAGCUCCAAUAGCGUACGUUAAAGUUGCUGCAGUUAAAAAAGCUCGUAGUUGAACGUUCGGGUUCCGCGGGACGGGGCCGCCCCGCGAGGGACGGCGCCGCCCCGGGGCUCGUGAUAUCUUAUCUCGCCGCCCGUCGCGAGGCGGACGGAGGGAUGGAUGAGGUUACCUGGAAAAAAUCGGGGCGAUCUAGGCGGGCGAACCUCGCCAACGAACGAUCGGACAUGGGAUAACGGAAGAGGGCGUCGGCUCGGACUUCGUCGGUUCCUCGGGGCCGAGGCACGUACGGUGAAUAGGGACGGUCGGGGCCGCCCGUACCGGGUCGUGAGAGGUGAAAUUCUAGGAUCGACCCCGGAGACGGAACUGCCGCGAAAGCAUUCGGCAAGGACGCUUUCAUUAAUCAAGACGAAAGUCGGGGGAUCGAAGACGAUCAGAUACCGUCGUAGUCCCGACCGUAAACGAUGCCGACCGAGGG
rnacentral:rRNA from 1 species